GAUGAAGAACGUAGCGAAAUGCGAUAAGUAAUGUGAAUUGCAGAAUUCAGUGAAUCAUCGAAUCUUUGAACGCACAUUGCGCCCCUUGGUAUUCCGAGGGGCAUGCCUGUUCGAGCGUCAUUAUAACCCCUCAAGCUCAGCUUGGUGUUGGGGCCUGCUGCACUGGCAGCCCUUAAAAUCAGUGGCGGCGCCAUCUGGCUCUAAGCGUAGUAAUUCUUCUCGCUAUGGAGUCCUGGUGGAUGCUUGCCAUCAACCCCCAAUUUUUCUAUGGUUGACCUUGGAUCAGGUAGGGAUACCCGCUGAACUUAAGCAUAUCAAUAAGCGGAGGA
rnacentral:misc_RNA from 1 species